GACGAACGCUGGCGGCGCGCUUAACACAUGCAAGUCGAGCGAAGCGGCGGACGGGUGAGUAACACGUGAGUAACCUGCCUUAGACAUUGGGAUAGCCUCGGGAAACCGGGAUUAAUACCAAAUGGUCUAAGAUGGACUCGCGUCCCAUUAGCUAGUUGGUGAGGUAACGGCCCACCAAGGCGACGAUGGGUAGCCGGACUGGGAAGGUUAACGGCCACAUUGGAACUGAGAAACGGUCCAAACUAUACGGGGGGCAGUAGUGGGGAAUAUUGCACAAUGGGGGAAACCCGGAUGCAGCAACGCCGCGUGCGGGAUGACGGACUUCGGGUUGUAAACCGCUUUCAGCCAUGACGCGGUAGUGGCAGAAGAAGCACCGGCUAACUACGUGCCAGCAGCCGCGGUAAUAC
rnacentral:rRNA from 1 species